CGCUAUCACUCCUACGGGAGGCAGCAGUGGGGGAAUAUUGCACAAUGGGGGAAACCCUGAUGCAGCCAUGCCGCGUGUGUGAAGAAGGCCUUCGGGUUGUAAAGCACUUUCAGUAGGGAGGAAGGUAGUGUAGUUAACACCUGCAUUAUUUGACGUUACCUACAGAAGAAGCACCGGCUAACUCCGUGCCAGCAGCCGCGGUAAUACGGAGGGUGCGAGCGUUAAUCGGAAUUACUGGGCGUAAAGCGCAUGCAGGCGGCCUGUUAAGUCAGAUGUGAAAGCCCGGGGCUUAACCUCGGAAUUGCAUUUGAAACUGGCAGGCUAGAGUCUUGUAGAGGGGGUAGAAUUUCAGGUGUAGCGGUGAAAUGCGUAGAGAUCUGAAGGAAUACCAGUGGCGAAGGCGGCCCCCUGGACAAAGACUGACGCUCAGAUGCGAAAGCGUGGGGAGCAAACAGGAUUAGAUACCCUGGUAG
rnacentral:rRNA from 1 species